UACGGGGGGAGCAAGCGUUGUUCGGAUUUACUGGGCGUAAAGGGCGCGUAGGCGGUAGCACAAGUCAGUUGUGAAAUCUCCGGGCUUAACUCGGAAAGGUCAACUGAUACUGUGCGACUAGAGUGCAGAAGGGGCAACUGGAAUUCUCGGUGUAGCGGUGAAAUGCGUAGAUAUCAGGAGGAACACCAAUGGCGAAGGCAGCACUCUGGGACGUGACUGACGCUGAGACGCGAAAGCGUGGGGAGCAAACAGG
rnacentral:rRNA from 1 species